UACGUAGGGUGCGAGCGUUAAUCGGAAUUACUGGGCGUAAAGCGUGCGCAGGCGGCGCGUUAAGACAGGUGUGAAAGCCCCGAGCUUAACUUGGGAAUUGCGCUUGUGACUGGCGUGCUGGAGUGUGGCAGAGGGAGGUGGAAUUCCGCGUGUAGCAGUGAAAUGCGUAGAUAUCGGGAGGAACACCAGUGGCGAAGGCGGCCUUCUGGCUCGUAACUGACGCUGUAGCGCGAAAGCGUGGGGAGCGAACGGG
rnacentral:rRNA from 1 species